rnacentral:tRNA from 1 species
GCCCGCGUAGCUCAGGGGCAGAGCGUUCCCUUGGUAAGGGAGAGGUCCCCGGUUCAACCCCGGGCGCAGGCU